rnacentral:rRNA from 1 species
GUUGGUGUCUAUAGCAGUGAGGUUCCACCCGUUCCCAUCCCGAACACGGCAGUUAAGCUCACCUGCGCCAAAAAUACUUGGCGGGCAACCGCCCGGGAAGACAGGACGACGCCAACA